ACCGUGCGGAAGAAUUCCACCAUCCAGCAAGCGAGGGGAGAGUAUAAAAGGGCGAUAUUCCACUCGCACAAAGAGAAAUAUUUCCGAGCACGUGCGCGAGUUUCUGACGUGGUUUAUGCAGUUACGCUAACGCUUGCUAAUCCUUAUCUACUAGCCCACGUUUUGAUACGUUUGUAGCGACAAUGCCAGGUACAACGGCCACUAAAAACCUCCCUGGUCAUCUUAACGCCGAGCCAUGCAGAGUACAUUUUGACGAUGUUUGACUUGCUCCAACUUCAAACACAAGACAAAUGUCAUCCAAAUUGUACAAACAAAUGUUCCCAACUUUUCCACCAAGGAAGUAACUCUAAGCAUCCAGACUGCGAUAGGCUUUUACUGCAUCUCUCGUGUAGACGCACUGGCUAUCAACCAGCUAAUGGUACAUGUCUGGAUAAGUAUCUUCAUGUAAACGUUUAAUGUUCUGUGUGAAAAGUUCUCUCCCUGGAUAAUGCCACUUCAUUUAUUUUCAGUUUUUGUAAAUACCUCAACAAUUCAGAUUUAGCUAGACCUAAAAAGUAUGCGCUUGUCAUUUUGUUUUGACUCGUCUGGGAUUUAAAAAUAGUGAAAUGGAAAUGCUUCAGGACCAGACAUGUGCAGUAGCACUGUAACUCGUUUAUUAUUGUUUACGUCCUUAAAGUGGUCUAUAGUAAUAAUUCCUUUAUCUUUCAGUAUGCACUGUAGCAUCUGUUCAGGACAGUGAUCGUCAGUGUAAUAGAUGACUGUAUAUAUAAAAGACUGUUCCACUUGUAGAUUUGUGAAAUGUCUCAUUAAAAAUACUCUACUGUU